CAUUUGAUUGGUUGACAAAGAGCGGGUGGAUACAAUUUGUUAAUCUAAUUUGACCCCGCCCCUUUUACCGACGCCCCGAAGAUGCUGUUGCAGUAAUGAAGCUAAUCCGGACAGCAUAGAAGGGGAUGAUGUUCGUGAAGGUGGGCUGUGUAAACCCUGUGACGGUCUGCUGGCAUCGUGGUGUGGGUUCGUUCUCUCAACGACGCAGUCGGAUUUGGACACAGCGUAAAGUACAUGGAUGGCUACAGCGAGAGGACGAGCAGGAUGGUUAUGAGCCACGAUUGUCCUGAGGACACAGUGGCAAGUCCAAAGGUCGCUCUUUUUCGACUACUUCUGCUGCUGCUGUGGUCGUCUGAUUCUGGGCCCAUCAUUAACCAGCUUUUAA